GUUUAAAUAAUUUAAGUAAAAUAUUA
rnacentral:tRNA from 1 species